AUUGAACGCUGGCGGCAGGCCUAACACAUGCAAGUCGAACGAGUGGCGGACGGGUGAGUAAUGUGUGGGAAACCGCCUGAUGGAGGGGGAUAACCACUGGAAACGGUCGCUAAUACCGCAUACCCUCAGAUGUGCCCAGAUGGGAGUGGCGUGUUGGUGGGGUAAGGGCUCACAAAGGCGACGAUCCCUAGCUGGUCUGAGAGGAUGACCAGCCACACUGGAACUGGACAACGGCCCAGACUCCUCCGGGAGGCAGCAGUGGGGAAUAUUGGACAAUGGGCGAAAGCCUGAUGAAGCCAUGCCGCGUGGGUGAAGAAGGCUUUCGGGUUGUAAAGUACUUUCAGCGGGGAGGCGUUACCCGAAGAGGAAGCACCGGCUAACUCCGUGCCAGCAGCCGCGGUAAUUC
rnacentral:rRNA from 1 species